AAUAGAUACCCGGGUAGUCCACGCCGUAAACGAUGAGUGCUAAGUGUUAGGGGGUUUCCGCCCCUUAGUGCUGCAGCUAACGCAUUAAGCACUCCGCCUGGGGAGUACGGUCGCAAGACUGAAACUCAAAGGAAUUGACGGGGGCCCGCACAAGCGGUGGAGCAUGUGGUUUAAUUCGAAGCAACGCGAAAAACCUUACCAGGUCUUGACAUCCCACUGACCGCUAUGGAGACAUAGUUUUCCCUUCGGGGACAGUGGUGACAGGUGGUGCAUGGUUGUCGUCAGCUCGUGUCGUGAGAUGUUGGGUUAAGUCCCGCAACGAGCGCAACCCUUGAUCUUAGUUGCCAUCAUUUAGUUGGGCACUCUAAGGUGACUGCCGGUGACAAACCGGAGGAAGGUGGGGAUGACGUCAAAUCAUCAUGCCCCUUAUGACCUGGGCUACACACGUGCUACAAUGGACGGUACAAACGGUUGCCAACCCGCGAGGGGGAGUUAAUCCGAUAAAACCGUUCUCAGUUCGGAUUGUAGGCUGCAACUCGCCUACAUGAAGCC
rnacentral:rRNA from 1 species